UGCACCGCAUGUUAUCCACCUUAUCGCAAGUGUCCCAAUGAAUGUGCUUGCUACGUUCCGUGCAACAAAAUAAUCGAAUGCAAGGAUGGCUCUGAUGAGUUUGAGUGUGCAACAACCCAAACGUCCACUGUUACCACACCAACAACGACGACUGCAGGCUCAACGACAAGUUUUUGUUCUGAAUACGAGUGUGAAGACGGCACCUGUAUCAAGAAGCAUGAAGUGUGUGACAACACUUGCAACUGUCCCCAACAUUGCGACGAUGAAAAGAAAUGCGCUAGUACCACAAGGACGGUUUUCACGACCCCGACGUUUACUCCCAUUACAACACAACCAUAUUGCGGAA